rnacentral:rRNA from 1 species
UAACGGCUGAACUGGCAACUUGGAGAAGUGGCAAGCCCUAUUUUGAUCAUAUCUUUGAAUAUGAUCUAUAGGGUUGUAUUAAAUUGAAUAAAGCUUUGUUUAUAUAUUGAUAAUGACAGUAUAUAUAUCGUGUCUUGACUAAUUCCGUGCCAGCAGUCGCGGUAAUACGUAAGAGACUAGUGUUAUUCAUCUUAAUUAGGUUUAAAGGGUACCUAGACGGUCAAUAUAGCUUCUAAAAUGUUAGUACUUGACUAGAGUUUUAUGUAAGAGGGCAGUACUUGAGGAGGAGAGAUGAAAUUCUAUGAUACCAAAGGGACUCGGUAAAGGCGAAGGCAGCCCUCUAUGUAAAAACNGACGUUAAAGGACGAAGGCACAGAGCACAAACAGGAUUAGAUACCCAAGUAGUCUUUGCAGUAAAUGAUGAAUGCCAUAGGUUAGAUUAAGAUUUAAUAUUAUAAUUUAAAAUUAAAUAUUAAACAUUAUUUGGUCUAUAAAUGAAAGUGUAAGCAUUUCACCUCAAGAGUAAUGUGGCA